rnacentral:rRNA from 1 species
UACGAAGGGGGCUAGCGUUGUUCGGAAUCACUGGGCGUAAAGCGCGCGUAGGCGGACCUGCAAGUCGGGGGUGAAAGCCCGAGGCUCAACCUCGGAACUGCCUUCGAUACUGCGGGUCUCGAGUCCGGGAGAGGUGAGUGGAAUUCCUAGUGUAGAGGUGAAAUUCGUAGAUAUUAGGAAGAACACCAGUGGCGAAGGCGGCUCACUGGCCCGGUACUGACGCUGAGACGCGAAAGCGUGGGGAGCGAACAGG